GGUCUAUUAGUCUAGUUGGUUAGGACGUCGGAUUCUGAUUCACUCUUCCGUAGGCCCAGGUUCGAAUCGUUCGAAUCCUGGAUGGACC
rnacentral:tRNA from 1 species